GACGGAAGGUGCAAGCGUUGCUCGGAAUCAGCUAGGGCGUAAAGGGUGCGUAGGCGGCCGUGCAAGUCUGGCGUGAAAGCCCCGGCUCAGCCCGGGAAGUGCGCUCGAAACUGCGCGGCUCGAGGUGCCGGAGGGAGAGGUGGAAUUCCUGGUGUAGCGGUGAAAUGCGUAGAUAUCAGGAGGAAUACCGGUGGCGAAAAGCGACUCUCUGGACGGCAACUGGA
rnacentral:rRNA from 1 species